rnacentral:rRNA from 1 species
GAUGAACGCUGGCGGCGUGCUUAACACAUGCAAGUCGAACGGUGAAGGCGGAGCUUGCUCUGCUGGAUCAGUGGCGAACGGGUGAGUAACACGUGAGCAAUCUGCCCCUGACUCUGGGAUAAGCGCUGGAAACGGCGUCUAAUACUGGAUACGAGCUGCGAAGGCAUCUUCAGCAGCUGGAAAGAAUUUCGGUCAGGGAUGAGCUCGCGGCCUAUCAGCUUGUUGGUGAGGUAAUGGCUCACCAAGGCGUCGACGGGUAGCCGGCAUGAGAGGGUGACCGGCCACACUGGGACUGAGACACGGCCCAGACUCCUACGGGAGGCAGCAGUGGGGAAUAUUGCACAAUGGGCGAAAGCCUGAUGCAGCAACGCCGCGUGAGGGACGACGGCCUUCGGGUUGUAAACCUCUUUUAGCAGGGAAGAAGCGAAAGUGACGGUACCUGCAGAAAAAGCGCCGGCUAACUACGUG